rnacentral:rRNA from 1 species
UUACUGGCUCAGGACGAACGCUGGCGGCACGCUUAACACAUGCAAGUCGAACGAACGGAGAUAGCUUGCUAUCAAAGUUAGUGGCGGACGGGUGAGUAACACGUGAGCAAUCUGCCUUUAAGUGGGGAAUAACGAUUGGAAACGGUCGGUAAUACCGCAUAAAAUAGCUGAACCGCAUGAUUUGGCUAUCAAAGAUUUAUCGCUUAAAGACGAGCUCGCGUCUGAUUAGCUGGUUGGUGAGGUAACGGCCCACCAAGGCGACGAUCAGUAGCCGGACUGAGAGGUUGAACGGCCACAUUGGGACUGAGACACGGCCCAGACUCCUACGGGAGGCAGCAGUGGGGAAUAUUGCACAAUGGGCGCAAGCCUGAUGCAGCGAUGCCGCGUGAGGGAAGAAGGUUUUCGGAUUGUAAACCUCUGUUGACAGGGACGAUAAUGACGGUACCUGUUCAGAAAGCUCCGGCUAACUACGUGCCAGCAGCGGC